AUACAGAGGGUGCGAGCGUUAAGCGGAAUUACUGGGCGUAAAGCGCGCGUAGGCGGCUUGGUCAGUCGGAUGUGAAAGCCCUGGGCUCAACCUGGGAAUUGCAUUCGAUACUGCCAAGCUAGAGUAUGGGAGAGGGAAGUGGAAUUUCCGGUGUAGCGGUGAAAUGCGUAGAUAUCGGAAAGAACACCAGUGGCGAAGGCGACUUCCUGGCCCAAUACUGACGCUGAGGUGCGAAAGCGUGGGGAGCGAACAGGAUUAGAAACCCUAGUAGUCC
rnacentral:rRNA from 1 species